UAGGGAAUCUUCCGCAAUGGACGCAAGUCUGACGGAGCAACGCUGCGUGAGUGAAGAAGGAUUUCGGUUCGUAAAACUCUGUUGUUAGAGAAGAACAGCGCAUAGAGUAACUGUUAUGCGUGUGACGGUAUCUAACCAGAAAGCCACGGCUAACUACGUGCCAGCAGCCGCGGUAAUACGUAGGUGGCAAGCGUUGUCCGGAUUUAUUGGGCGUAAAGCGAGCGCAGGCGGUCAAUUAAGUCUGAUGUGAAAGCCCCCGGCUCAACCGGGGAGGGUCAUUGGAAACUGGUCGACUUGAGUGCAGAAGAGGAGAGUGGAAUUCCAUGUGUAGCGGUGAAAUGCGUAGAUAUAUGGAGGAACACCAGUGGCGAAGGCGACUCUCUGGUCUGUAACUGACGCUGAGGCUCGAAAGCGUGGGUAGCAAACAGG
rnacentral:rRNA from 1 species